rnacentral:rRNA from 1 species
UACUAGAGUAGCACUCGCAUAUCAAUAAGCGGAGGAAAAGAAACUAACAAGGAUUCCCCUAGUAACGGCGAGUGAAGCGGGAAGAGCUCAAAUUUGAAAUCUUAAAGGGUUUCCCUUUACGAAUUGUAGUUUAAAGAAGUGUUUUCUGUUGAGGUUUUGGUAAAAGUUCUUUGGAAUAGGACAUCAUAGAGGGUGAGAAUCCCGUAUUUGACCUUUACUUUCAACUUUGUGAUACACCUUCAAAGAGUCGGAUUGUUUGGGAAUGCAGUCCAAAAUGGGUGGUAAAUUUCAUCUAAAGCUAAAUAUUGGCGAGAGACCGAUAGCGAACAAGUACCGUGAGGGAAAGAUGAAAAGAACUUUGAAAAGAGAGUUAAACAGUACGUGAAAUUGUCAAAAGGGAAGCGUUUGACACCAGUGUUGUUUUUCUGAAAAUCAAUUAAAGAACUGUUUAUGCUAAGCUUGUUUAGACUUUAUCAGCUAACUGUUUAGUUUUGAGCUUUUCUUUAAUGCACUUUUCAGUUAACAAGUCAACAUCAAUUUCUUUUGCUGUAAAAAAGCUUGAGGAAGGUGGCUUGAGAUUCGUCUUAAGUGUUUAUAGCCUCUUGCCUAUGCAGUCGGAGAGAUUGAGGUCUGCAGCGUAGAUCCUUCGGGGCUAAAUGCAUUUGUGCUAAGUUAUAGCAUUUUAUAGACAACUUGUUGACUAUGAUUUGUCUUGUAGCUUACUCGCUUAUGUUAUUUUACCUACGCUUAGGAUGUUGAGUCAUCACACAUCUCU